UACGGAGGGGGCUAGCGUUGUUCGGAAUUACUGGGCGUAAAGCGUACGUAGGCGGCUUUGUAAGUUAGAGGUGAAAGCCCGGGGCUCAACCCCGGAAUUGCCUUUAAGACUGCAUCGCUUGAACGUCGGAGAGGUGAGUGGAAUUCCGAGUGUAGAGGUGAAAUUCGUAGAUAUUCGGAAGAACACCAGUGGCGAAGGCGGCUCACUGGCCCGGUACUGACGCUGAGGUGCGAAAGGCGUGGGGAGCAAACAGG
rnacentral:rRNA from 1 species